GCCCGGCUGGCACAAUCGGUAGCGCGUGAGACUCUUAAUCUCAAGGUUGUGGGUUCGAGCCCCACGUCAGGCU